rnacentral:rRNA from 1 species
CAGCCGUAAACUAUGCGCGUUAGGUGUAUCGGUGACCACGAGUCACCGAGGUGCCGAAGGGAAACCGUGAAACGUGCCGCCUGGGAAGUACGGUCGCAAGGCUGAAACUUAAGGGAAUUGGCGGGGGAGCACCACAACGGGUGGAGCCUGCGGUUUAAUUGGACUCAACGCCGGGAAGCUCACCGGAUAAGACAGCGGAAUGAUUGCCGGGCUGAAGACUCUGCAUGACUAGCUGAGAGGAGGUGCAUGGCGUAGACGUCU